CUAAUCGCAAAAAUAAUCGGUGACUAGUCGACUAUCAAAAUAAUCGUUUGUGGCAGCCCUAAGUCUGACUAAUAAGCCUUUUUGCAAAUUUCUGUGAGUAUAUAUGGACUUUACACAGUUUCUGCUUGUAAUGUCAAACCAUAAUUUGGCUACAGUAAGAAUCGAGCAUUGUUGUUGUUGUUGUUGUUGUUGUUACAGUGAAGCUGUUUCCAUAGCUGGGCGAUCCUUUUCAUGUGCCAUCAGAUGAUGUCAAUUAAUACAGAACACUUUAUCAAGACUAGAUAAUGGAAGGAAUGGAGAAACAAAAGCCCACAUCACAGCAGGAGGGUGGAGGAGGAAGCAAGGAAGGGAGGAAGUUUAAAUUCGCAGAACGGAAAACACUGAAGCUGCAGGUCUGGAUCAACAGCAUCGGGGCAUGUGUCUAAUGAGACGAUGGGUGGUGUCCUGAGGCAUCUCCUCCCAGAUCUGGACUAGAGCAUCACUAAGCUCCUGGACAGUCUCACAUUCAACCUGGCAGCAUCAGACUCAGGGUUAACCUGCUCUCGUCUGUGAAAAGCACAGAGCGUCAGUGGUGGACCUGCCAAUCCUGGUAUUCUACGGCAAGCUGGCUCCACAGUGCUGCCCAGUGAGCACAGAGGCCACUAGAGGACGUCAGGCCCUCAGGCCACCCUCAUGAAGUCUGUUUCUGAUUGUUUGGUUUGUUUUUUGUUGCAUUCCUGUGCCCUAUACACUGCACACUUACACACUGACCCGACUGGGAAACAUUCAUCGCUAUGAGAGUCUCACUCUUAAGGGCCUGUUACAGCCAGUGUGUAACACACCAACACCGGAAACCACUACUUAUGUCCACUAGUAUAAACACCUAAACAACACAUAACUGAGAUCACAGCACCAGUCCCAUGAGCCUUUGUGCUUGCCUUUGCAGAGGAGUUCACUACUUCAGAAAUAAAUCUCAAAUUAUUAACUGCAACAAGUGCACCAAACUACACUUGACAAAAAGUAACAGUUACUCAUUACAAGUUGUAAACUAAAUGCAACAAUAAUAUAUAGUUAUAGGAUGUUAUCAUAUAUGAUAUAGUUUUAUAGUUAUAAUUAUGUAGUUAUGUAAUAUAUAGGCCAUAAUCACAUUUAUAUAUAGCAUUUAUAUUACAGCUGAAUUUUAGUUAUAUAGUUACAGGACACAGUUUACAUUUACUUUUAUGUAGGGCUUUUCCACAUUAACUGCUAAAGCACUUUUUACAACAAGUCACAUUAUCCUAUAGAUACAAACGCACAAUCACAUACACAUUAACAUUCUGCGUGUUUAUAUAAUAAAGAUAAAACGGGAAUGAGCGCUGCCUGUGUUUACAAAAUAUGAAACAGUUCUGAAACUGCUGACUCUUUACUUUUAGGAUUCAGUUCCUUCUUUAAAAACAAAAAAAACAACCUUUUUAAACCUAAUCCUUUUUCAUCUUAGAAUGUGUUAAUAAAUGUAAGCUAGUAAUAUAUGUAUGUAUAUUGUGCAUCUGUGUGAUAGAAAACUGCACCGCAUUCUUGGUCAGUGAAAAAGUCUUUGGUGAAAACACUUUCCUGAGCGCUGCAGUGUGAGAGGCUAAAAACAGAAAGGGAACACUUUGGCCUCGGAAAGAUCCCAAAGCACACACGAGAAAAGCUAAAUGGUAAGAAGUAUUUCCCGUGUCUGAAGAACGUCAUCCUUGCUUGACUCCAACCACACGCAGAAGUCCAUCCCUCUCCCUGCUCUGUCAGUUGCUUUACUUAUUUCUCGACCAUUCUCACACUCACAGACACACACACACACUGAGCUAAAGAUAGUCCUAGCUAUGGUUUAGUUAGCCUCAAGGCCUGCAGUCAAACAUCUGGAAAACAGCUGGUAGCUGAAUUAAGGACUACUGCCUGGGCAGUGGUGGCCUUUAUUGUUCUGCAGUCCAAAUCUGUUCCCUCUAUAAUUACACUGCAGUGCUAAUGAAGGUGUGAGGAUUUAUGGCAUUGUGAAUAAGCAGCUUGUCAAGACACCACAAAUCCUGUGAAUGCUUCAUGCAAACUUAAGACCUAUAAGCCUCGAUGACUUCUUAUGGUUGCAUCAUUUUUGCCAAAUAAAUGAAGUGCAUGAACAUAACUCCUUUCAGCAGUAAGUAAACCCAGGAAGUGAGUGGUGUGUGGGUCUAGUAUUUUUAACUUCUGCACCUGCUCCCUGUUGUGUUGACAGCCGAGCCUGGGACAGAGUCAGACUUACUGCCUUCUCAAACACAUUCAUAACAUUCAUUCAUGUAUAUUUUGGCACUCUUGCAGCAAGGACAAAAGAGGUGAGCGAGAAAAGAGGUGAACAUCAUGAGAUUAUUGCACUAAUAUUUGUUCCAGUGUCUUUUUGGGGGGGGGGGAUUACCAGUAUAUUUCCCAUAUUUUCUAGCUCGUUACAUAUAAAAGCCAAUCAGAAAAUAUCAUCUUUUGUAUUCAGCAACUUUCUUAAGCAUAUCUGCUUUGCACACUGCAGUGUCUGUACACUGGAGCAGCUUCUUUAACACCUGAUUCUGCAGAAUGGAUUCAAGGGCAAGAGGUAGUGUUUUGGGACAAACAAGCACAGCUUCUGCCACACCUCUGAACAAUGUAUUGUGCCCUUGACAGUUUUUACAUGGAAAUGCAAGGGAAUGUAACUAAAGUAUACCAAACUCCACAGAACAUAAACAGGGGAUAUUCUGCCAUUUAUAGCCGAGUGGCAAAAUGACCAUACAUAGCAUUAUUUGAGACAGAUUUUACAGAAGUGAGCAUCAGAAUGGAGAAGAAAGAAGACUUUGAAUGUGGUUGCUGGUGGACUGAAUAUUUCAGAAAGUGCU